rnacentral:rRNA from 1 species
UAUCAAUAAGCGGAGGAAAAGAAACCAACAGGGAUUGCCUCAGUAACGGCGAGUGAAGCGGCAAAAGCUCAAAUUUGAAAUCUGGCGCCCACCAGCGUCCGAGUUGUACUUUGGAGAGGCAUCUUCGUGAGGGGUCCAGCCUAUGUUCCUUGGAACAGGGCGUCACAGAGGGUGAGAAUCCCGUUCGUGGCUGGAUACCCCUUGUAGUAUGUAGUGUCUUCAAUGAGUCGAGUUGUUUGGGAAUGCAGCUCAAAAUGGGUGGUAAAUUUCAUCUAAAGCUAAAUAUUGGCGAGAGACCGAUAGCGCACAAGUAGAGUGAUCGAAAGAUGAAAAGCACUUUGAAAAUAGAGUCAAACAGUACGUGAAAUUGUUGAAAGGGAAGCGCUUGAGAUCAGAGUCAGCCUUUGACAAACAACAUUCCAUCUGGAUAGUGCACUUGUCAUUGGCUGGGCCAGCAUCAGUUGGGACGGUAGGAUAAAGGCCUUGGGAAUGUGACUCCCUUCCGGAGUGUUAUAGCCCCUGGUGUCAUGCUGCCUGCCCUGACUGUGGACCGCGCUUCGGCUUGGAUGCUGGCUUAAUGGUCUUCAGCGGCCCGUCUUGAAACACGGACCAAGGAGUCUAACGUCUAUGCAAGUGUUUGGGCUCAAAACCCUCAUGCGUAAUGAAAGUGAACGGAGGUGGGAACCCUGCAAGGGGUGCACCAUCGACCGAUCCUGAUGUCUUCGGAUGGAUUUGAGUAGGAGCAUAGCUGUUGGGACCCGAAAGAUGGUGAACUAUGCCUGAAUAGGGUGAAGCCAGAGGAAACUCUGGUGGAGGCUCGCAGCGGUUCUGACGUGCAAAUCGAUCGUCAAAUUUGGGUAUAGGGGCGAAAGACUAAUCGAACC